AAAGGAGGUCAGGUGAUCGCUCUUCGUCAACUCGGCGAAGGGAGGAAAGUCCGGGCUCCGUAGAGCAGGGUGCUGGAUAACGUCCAGUGGGGGUGACCCUAAGGAUAGUGCCACAGAAAAGAAACCGCCAGGUGCCUGUGUGGAACGGCGAGCCGCUGUACAGUGUGACCUGGUAAGGGUGAAACGGUGCGGUAAGAGCGCACCAGUCCCGGUGGUGACAUCGGGAGCUCGGUAAACCCCACCCGGAGCAAGACCAAAUAGGGAGGCGCUCCCAAUUUGUCCCACUGCGGAUGAAUGGGGAUAAGGGUUGCUCGCCCAAUGCCUCCGGGUUCGGUCGCUUGAGGCAUGCGGUAACGUAUGUCCUAGAGGAAUGAUCAUCGCCGUCUGCCAGGUGCAGACGGAACAGAACCCGGCUUAUCGAUUUGCUUUGCCC
rnacentral:RNase_P_RNA from 1 species